rnacentral:misc_RNA from 1 species
GAAAUGCGAUAAGUAGUGUGAAUUGCAGAAUUCAGUGAAUCAUUGAAUCUUUGAACGCACAUUGCGCCCCUCGGUAUUCCGUGGGGCAUGCCUGUUCGAGCGUCAUCUACACCCUCAAGCUCUGCUUGGUGUUGGGCGUCUGUCCCGCCUCCGCGCGCGGACUCGCCCCAAAUGCAUUGGCAGCGGUUCCUUGCCCCCCUCUUUGCGCAGCACAUUGCCAUUCGAGGCGGCGGCGGCCCGCGUCCAACAAGCUCAACCCCCCCGUCUUUGACCUCGGAUCAGGUAGGGAUACCCGCUGAACUUAAGC